rnacentral:rRNA from 1 species
UACGGGGGGGAGCAAGCGUUUGUUCGGAUUUACUGGGCGUAAAGGGCGCGUAGGCGGUCAGCACAAGUCAGUUGUGAAAUCUCCGGGCUUAACUCGGAAAGGUCAACUGAUACUGUGCGACUAGAGUGCAGAAGGGGCAACUGGAAUUCUUGGUGUAGCGGUGAAAUGCGUAGAUAUCAAGAGGAACACCUGCGGCGAAGGCGGGUUGCUGGGCUGACGCUGACGCUGAAGCGCGAAAGCCAGGGGAGCGAACGGG